ACGAACGCUGGCGGCGUGCUUAACACAUGCAAGUCGAACGAAAAGAGGGAAAGAGCCUGCUCUUUCCGGAAUUGAGUGGCAAACGGGUGAGUAACACGUAAACAACCUGCCUUCAGGAUGGGGACAACAGACGGAAACGACUGCUAAUACCGAAUAAGUUCCAAGAGCCGCAUGGCCCAUGGAAGAAAAGGUGGCCUCUACCUGUAAGCUAUCGCCUGAAGAGGGGUUUGCGUCUGAUUAGCUGGUUGGAGGGGUAACGGCCCACCAAGGCGACGAUCAGUAGCCGGUCUGAGAGGAUGAACGGCCACCCUGGAACUGAGACACGGUCCAGACUCCUACGGGAGGCAGCAGUGGGGAAUCUUCCGCAACGGGCGAAAGCCUGACGGAGCAACGCCGCGUGAGUGAUGACGGCCUUCGGGUUGUAAAACUCUGUGAUCCGGGACGAAAAGGCAGAGUGCGAAGAACAAACUGCAUUGACGGUACCGGAAAAGCAAGCCACGGCUAACUACGUG
rnacentral:rRNA from 1 species